rnacentral:lncRNA from 1 species
CUCGAUCACUUGAUAAGUUGAAUUGAGGUGUGAAUUGGAGUUGGAGUUAUUUGAGUUUCGAGGACGAAAAACUCUUAUUAAGGAGGGGAGGAUGUAAGGUACCAGACUUCUAAAAUUAUGAAGUUACGGUGUAUAUUGGUUUGGAGAGCCAUUUGAAUGGUUUCGGUAAAGUUCCGGAGAAGUUCGGGAGCAUUCGGGUGUUUCGGAGCGCGUAAGCGCGAAAACGGGACCCGAAAGGCUAUGUUGGACCA